AUGGCAGGGUGGGGCUGUUUUCUUCACUGUGGCAUUGAACUACGAGCUUGGCUGACCCUUAAUGGUGACUGCUGCAGAUGCUGUGCAUUGGGAAUGGGUGUGAAUCAAAUCCCAAGCUCUGGACACUCCUGGCUCUGGAUCUCAACCUGGAUUUUGCAGCUGACAUCCUUCCCUGUUACGCUAUGUACAGGAUUAACAAUACCUUUUGUAAGGCACAAUUUGUGGUACUAAAAUUAUAUCUGUGAUCUCUGAGGGCUACAGCUGGGAAGGAAGGGAUGCUGAACUUCAGCUGCCGCCCCCAGGGAGUGCCUGGAGACUGGACUGCAGUGACAGAUGGUGUUUGCACUUAACUGCAUGUGGAAACCUCAGUAUCACUUGUUAUGUCCUGAAAAAUCUGUGAAUGCUCUUCUGCCGGGGCAGCAUAUACCAAGCUAAAAGCCAGUAUGUGCUGAGGUGAGCAGAGAUACAGAAAGUGUGUGGCUUUCACACCCAACCUGCUGAGGCCAUUGUCAGAGUAACAGGGAUGGAGGAAAGGGAGCAAAGUCUGACAGCAGACACAAAAGCAAAGUGAACUGGAUACCAGCAGGAGGUCUUCUUCCAGAAGGAAAGAGGCAACUGAUUGAAGGAAUGCAGGACCCAGUCAUGUCCAAGAAAAGAUGAAGACAUUUGGAUGGGGAUUUUUCUUCCAGGAACAAGGCAGAACUUAACAAAAUCAGAAAUAGUGAGAAGAGCCUCUCAGAGAAAAGCCUCUCUAAAGUAAAGGCCUCUAGAACAUGCUGGUUGCAAAAUGAGAAGAAAGAAGCUGAGAUAAGUGUUGGAAAGAGUUACUGUAAGAGAUGAUACAUGUACCACACCAAUGAACAAGAAACAAAAGGAAAAAAGGGUGUGUCAGUUCACAUGAUUUCAGACAUUUCAGGAGUUCCUCCCAAGUCUGCACAGAAAAAAAAAAAAAAAAAAAAAGCCAAUGAAGUUGGAAAAAAAGAAAAAUUAAAGAGGACAGAAAAGUGAAUGAGUCAGCCUUGAGAUCUUUGAUGUUGGUGAUACUUUCCAGAAAAGAAAAGUACUAGAAACUAUGAUGGUAUCUCCAUAAAACUUAAAAGAACACUUGCCC
rnacentral:lncRNA from 1 species